ACGGUAAGGUUACCACAUGGCAUUUCUUUAGGCUGAAGCUGUCAGACACUUUCCUUGUGCUGCAAGUCUUCUGUCAGUACGUUCACCUUUUCCCCUUUGCCGUUCCAGUUUACGUGCCCUAACCACUUCCAAGAACAAGGUCACUGAAAGGGUCGUGACCAAGAGCCGGGAGGUGGCUUGGAAACCAGGUCACAUCUCCAGCAGAUGUGGAGCAGGGCAAUUGGGUGGGUAAUGUUCCAGCUAUGUGGGUGGUCAAGGUCCACACCCGGACACAGCUCCUGGGUCUGCUUUCUGUGGUGGCCAAAACAUGACCUUACGUGACCACUUUGCCACCUGGUGCUGGCAGGAGCCCUACCCUCUCCAAAAUCUGGCCCUGGUCCCCAAGGUUCAGUGCCCAGAAGUACCCUGUGGCUCACACACUAACUCAGCAUCCACACACGGGGGAUGGAGCACAACCUCCUGACAGACAAUUUACAAAUGAGGUGACUCAAUGCCACACUUGAAUGAGCUUAACUGCAUACCCAGUGGUAGGCAAAAGGUAAAACAACAGCACCAGGCAGGUAAUUGUUGGACCUGUUGCAAGUAAUUUGCAAGUGCAGGCAUCUCAGUUUUGCAAUCUUGCUCAUCUUAAUUUCCUUUGAGCACCACAUCUUCUGGCAGUGUGAGCUGGCUUCUUUUUGGAAAUGUUCAGCUUUUCUUCAGCUCUCUGGCUGCACUUGCACAGGGAUUGAUAAAUGUUUAACUCCACGGAUAGGUAUAGCCUGUAGCAAAUGGGACAAAUCUUCCAUAAACAUUUUUUCCUCUUUUUAUUUUGCCGGUGAUACUAAUUGGACAAACUAAUUGGGUUUGUCCAGUGGCACUACUCUUACUGCACGCUCUGUAAGGGCCUGGCACAAUCCCUUCAGGCUGCAGCCAUGUGACAGGGCUUGCAAGCUGCCAUUGCCUGCAGGUAGGGAUCUCUGUAAACAAGGAAGAGUGCACCUCCGUGUUGAUGUAAGUUUCUUUUUUAUUUGUCAUCCAAAGAGAAGGAAGAAAAGGUGGACUUCUGUGGAACUGGCUGGUUGAUUGCUGGGUUUGUGAGUGGCCCCAGAGCUUGCUGCCCCUGCCCGCUCCCUCUAGCUGUUGUUCUCAUCCGUCUCCAGCCCAGGCAGGAAGAGUGGGCAGAAGACACACUGGGCUGGUGAGCUGCGUGCCAAGCAUAGCCCCAGUGUGCAGGAGUGGGAGAAGAGUGAGGUGGAAACCAGGUGUCACUAGCGUGGGGCACUGGGACUGCCAGCAGUCACAGAGCAGCCGUACUGGCGGCAGUGGUGGAUAAAUGUGCUGAGAUGGGAGAUCUUUGGCGGCUUUCCUUUUGGUGGGAGAGACGCCCAGUGCUUUUUAUGUUUGACUUCUUUUCCUUGAAGCAUCAGCUGCCUGUGGGUGGAUGAUGCAAUUAACAGCAACGGCAAAAGGAUGAGGGCAGGUGCCCCUAGCAAGGAAGGCAGAGGAGGUUGUGCAGAAGUUAGCUAUUUGUGCAUUGGCAGUGAUACAACGUCAGUUAUUUGCAGGCUGGCGGCUAUACUCUGACCUGGAGACCUGGCUAACAAAGUCCAUGCUGCAAGCAGUCAUCUGUAAGAUGCGAUGGAGGACAAGCAAAGCUGCCUUUAGCUGUUGUCCUGCCUGAAGGAGGAAAGAAGGCCAUUGCAACAUGCCAAAGAGAGGAAUGGAAUCGUCCUCCUCUGCCUGUGGGGCAGCAAGGAAGUUUCAGGCUAGUCACUGGGGGAAAAUCUAACGUGUACAGCCAGUUGGGGCAGCGGGGUGGGGCACGGCCUGUCUGGGAGGCGGAGCAGCCUCUGUCACCUCCUAGCAUUGAGGAAAAAACAUCUGUUGAAACUACAUCAGCACGGUUUAUGUAUUACCGUUUCUGCUAUGUCACAAAUAUGACC
ensembl:lncRNA